AAUGUAUUCCCUGCAUGUUUUUAUUUGCCUGCCUUUGGUCUCCCUCGUUCCCAAGUACUAACAUCUUGGGUCACCAGGACGUAGCCUGGUCCCUUUGAAACACAUCUGUUGCAUGGCAUGAGGUAUAGAAAUACUGUCCUUAUCAGAAAGCCGUGGGGAAGUCUGUGUUGGGAUAUUCUCCUGAUUAUAAGCUUCUUUUCCACAUCUGUCAGUGCAGGUGGGAGCUUUUUCCAAGCAGAUGUGCCUGUGGGAGGCCAGCACGGGAGAACAUUGCAUCUCUCGCAGCCAUCCUCAUACCCCAUUUGUGAAGCCACCAUCAUCUUCUGAUGCGGUAUGUGUAAUGCCGUGGCUGUGAGGGUGGCAGGAGGCAACGAUUGCUGGUCUGCUCUCCCCAGCCUCGCAGCCACAGAGCUCUGUUCUGCCGUAGUGUCAGUCUGCCUCCUGCUUUUUCUCUCUAGUUAACCAGAAGGCCUCACGGGGCAGUUCUGAAAGCACCUGGUCACACUGAUUACAUGCUCCACAACUCCCUUAAUAAAAAGCACUUGUGGAGCAGCAUGGUGAGGUGCCUUUUUUGCAGCCCCCACGUGUAUCUGCUUGGGGUGAGGACAGGCUGUGAUGCUGAGUCCGGUGCCUCAGCUGCAGACAUGGAGCCGAACAGAAGAUGGGCGAGCCGAGCUGAAAAAACCUAUCUGCGUCUGGCCGUGGCCCAGAGCCCGUCUGCCUUGGCAUGCUCUGUACUGGGACGGGGUUAUUUUCAAUUUGGACACCUUCACUGACUGCUCAUAAGUUCUGAUCAUUUGGGAAGCUCCUGCCAUCAUAAGAGAUGAGUCCCUGCACUGCAGCACAGGCAUGUAUGAGAGCCAGCGUGGGAAGGAAGCUGGCUACCGUGCUCAUCACCUUCUCCCCAAAUUUCAUGGUGAGGGUUUUUCUGGAAGUGACUUGGCCCGUUGUAGCAAAGUGACGCUGGCUGGAGGAGUGGUGCAGCCUGCUGCAUCUGGGACAUGGUCGGAGAUCUGCUCCUGAUUUGGUGAAACCCCAAGGGAGCCAUGUGGCUGUUCUGGGAUGUGGAGGGAAUUGAGGCUUUGGACUCGCUGUAGGAAGGCACGGAGGUCUUCCCUCAUGCUUCUGAAGGGUUAUGGCAAGUGCAAGGAGUGAAUAAUGCUAGUCAGAUAGCAAGAUGAGGUUAUAGUUAAAGCUUCUGACCUCCUUGCCUUACCUAAUUUCUCUUAAAUCGAACCUUAAAUCUACUUUUCUUUUCCUUACCUAAGGAUAAAUGCAAAGUGAUGCAAUUAGAUUUGGUGGAGAAACAAAUUGUAGAAAACUGAUCAGAGAUAAGAAUCUGAUCUCAUCUUCCGUAAAAUGGUGGUCUUUCAGCUGCUUCCUUGCCCUGGCAAAACCUCAAUUGCCAAGGGGACCAUUUCUUUAUCUAUCAUUGCAAAAUAUUGUUCCUCCUUAAUUUUAAUAUCCAGAACCUCUAGCCAAGCAAAUAUUUAGCAUGUGCAAAGCCUGCACCCAACGAACUGGGACAAAUUCCCCACCGCUGUAAUCAUCCCCUAGCAA
rnacentral:lncRNA from 1 species